AUACGGAGGGUGCAAGCGUUGUUCGGAAUUACUGGACGUAAAGCGCGUGCAGGCGGUAAGGUAAGUCAGAUGUGAAAGCCCCGGGCUCAACCCGGGAAGUGCAUUUGAUACUGCCUUUCUUGAGUAUGGGAGAGGAGAGUGGAAUUCCCAGUGUAGAGGUGAAAUUCGUAGAUAGUGGGAGGAACACCCGUGGCGAAGGCGACUCUCUGGACCAAUACUGACGCUGAGACGCGAAAGCGUGGGGAGCGAACAGGAUUAGAAACCCCGGUAGUCC
rnacentral:rRNA from 1 species